ACAGAGGUCCCGAGCGUUGUUCGGAUUCACUGGGCGUAAAGGGUGCGUAGGCGGCUUUGAAAGUCUGAUGUGAAAUCUCCGGGCCCAACCCGGAAACUGCAUUAGAAACUGCAGGGCUAGAGUCUGUCAGAGGGGGAUGGAAUUCCACGUGUAGCAGUGAAAUGCGUAGAGAUGUGGAGGAACACCGAUGGCGAAGGCAGUCCCCUGGGAUAAGACUGACGCUCAUGCACGAAAGCGUGGGGAGCAAACAGGA
rnacentral:rRNA from 1 species